GACCUUCUGAAUCCUUGCUGAGAUCUAGUCAAACACAAGACCAUCAGGACUGAUGAGACUCCCAAGAUAAGUGAAGCG
rfam:Schistosoma mansoni strain Puerto Rico chromosome 4, complete genome